rnacentral:rRNA from 1 species
AGUGAACGCUGGCGGUAGGCCUAACACAUGCAAGUCGAACGGCAGCACAGUAAGAGCUUGCUCUUACGGGUGGCGAGUGGCGGACGGGUGAGGAAUACAUCGGAAUCUACUUUUUCGUGGGGGAUAACGUAGGGAAACUUACGCUAAUACCGCAUACGACCUACGGGUGAAAGCAUCGGCUCUUCGGACCUUGCGCGAUUGAAUGAGCCGAUGUCGGAUUAGCUAGUUGGCGGGGUAAAGGCCCACCAAGGCGACGAUCCGUAGCUGGUCUGAGAGGAUGAUCAGCCACACUGGAACUGAGACACGGUCCAGACUCCGACGGUAGGCAGCAGUGGGGAAUAUUGGACGAUGGGCGCGAGCGUGAUCCAGCCAUACCGCGGGGGUGAAGAAGGCCUUCGGGUUGGAAAGCCCUGUUGUUGGGAAAGAAAAGCAGCAGGUUAAUACCCCGCUGUUCUGACGGUACCCAAAGAAUAAGCACCGGCUAACUUCGUG